rnacentral:snRNA from 1 species
AGAUGUGCAGGCAAUUUGGCUGUGACAUCCAUCACCCAUCCUAUUGACAACCAGGGUUGAUUCUGCUGAGCUGACUGGCUAGGUAGGUGUCCCCUUCCUCCCUCACUCGUCCAUGUGCGUCUCUCCUGAAGCUGUGUGCUUGGUCAAAGAGAGCGAUCUCCAAAUACAGGAGGACCAGUCUUCUAGCAAGGGUGUUCAAGCAGCUGCUAGCUGCGCUCCCCUGCUAGAACCUCCUAACAAGCUCUCAAGAAUCAGUACUCCAGGGCUGGAGAGAUGGCUUAGUGGUUAAGUGCUU